rnacentral:rRNA from 1 species
CGAAAGCCUGACGGAGCAACGCCGCGUGAGGGAUGAAGGCCUCUGGGCUGUAAACCUCUUUUCUCAAGGAAGAAGAUCGGACGGUACUUGAGGAAUGAGCCACGGCUAAUUCCGUGCCAGCAGCCGCGGUAAUACGGGAGUGGCAAGCGUUAUCCGGAAUCAUUGGGCGUAAAGCGUCCGCAGGCGGCCUUGAAAGUCUGUCGUUAAAGCGUGGAGCUUAACUCCAUUUCAGCGAUGGAAACUACAAGGCUUGAGUGUGGUAGGGGCAGAGGGAAUUCCCGGUGUAGCGGUGAAAUGCGUAGAUAUCGGGAAGAACACCAGUGGCGAAGGCGCUCUGCUGGGCCAUAACUGACGCUCAUGGACGAAAGCCAGGGGAGCG